GUAAUAGUAUGAAUGGAAAGAAAAUUCUAGACUAUACUGGCCACCGUUGUACCCGAAGCACCCAGGCAUGAAAAAAAAUGGGAUCCCCUUUCUCUUACUGCUCUUUGGAUCGAGGUCUGGCCGAGGCGGGGUGGCGCAAAGCUUCUGGCCGCGGAUCUAGCGCUGCUCGCCUUCCCAUGAUGCGGCAUCUCAUCUCUGCUGAAUUGGAGAGGCAGACGCCGGGACAGAGAGCUGUGUCGUCGCGUUUGACGACCAUCUCCUUCAAAGUUUUCCUCGUCGUUCUCUUAUUCUCCAAUCACCCAGGAUAGAGGUCGGCAUGCUGGGUGAGAAGGAAACUCAGAUGGUUGGGUGUGACAUGUAGAAAAGAGUUGCAUGCAACUUCAUAAGGCUUCGAUAUUGGCUGAGCGCCGAGUCUGAACAUCUCAUAUCAUAGAGUGUUCGCUUCAAUUGUCCUGGUGGUGAGAUCGUCGAGUCACGGCGUCAUAGCGUUGGUUGGCUUCAAUUUUCCUGGUCGUGGUGCUAAGUCGCGAGUUGCUGGGUGUCUUAGAUUUCCAGGCGGAUGGUGGGCGUCUGCUGGCUGCUGGUGCGGCCGGCUGUGUAUUUUGAUGGAUGAGUUCUGGCCGUGUGUGCUGGCUGCUGGGUGCGGCCGACUGUGUAUUUUGAUGGAUGAGUUCUGGCCGUGUCCUUAUGGAGUCCUUGUAUAUCUAUAUAUUUUUCCAAUUAAAGGAUAUAUGUGACAAUAGGCUGAUGGAUGCGGCCAGAUUUGUAUUUUUAUGGGGACUCUGUCCGUCCAUUAGUACUCUUUGUAUGUGUUUAUUAUGUGUCCUCGGCUUACCGAGUGUCCGAGUUAUGUAUGUGUCCUUUAGAGUCCC